CGUCCUGAUCCUGUAAUCCACAUAAUAAUCCCCUGACGCUAAAGAGAAAAAGGCCCAGUUGUGUGUGUGUGUGUGUGUGUGUGUGUGGUCAAGUGUGUGACACGCCGUAUUCCCGUUCUGCUACUGUCCAGCUCAGUGUUUGGUAAGAACCCCCCCCCCCCCCCCCCUUCACUCUUAAAGUUAAACACAAACAAAUUUCCCAUUGCGCUGUUCCUUUGUUUUAUAAGAACCUCAUGUACUUGCAGUAAAGUCUUGGCCAAAACCAGUGGGUUAUUCCAUCGAGCUGUAAUUCCUUUUGGGUUUGAAUUUCGGCAUCAAUCUUUUGCAGAAAUCAGCAUAUGAUUUUAUAUUUCAUGCUCACUUUAAAAUAAGUGAGAAUGUUUUACCGUGAAGUAGAAGUGACUUGGGACAUGGAGCUACUUAGCACUUCCACUGCAGCCAAAAACGACUCCAAUACCAGACCUAAUUCGUGAAAUGAGCAUUUCAAGGAAUUCACCACACAGACCUGAAUGCUACAGCCUCACAAAGACAACCAAGGAUUUCUAGGUCAGGCUAAUAAUUGGAAAAAUUGACUGUGGUUGUGGGCUCCUUUUUUUAUUUUUUUUUUAUUUUCUAAGACUGCAGUUUGUUGUAUUUCCCCAACAGAAAGAAUUUCCAUCUCCUGGCAUUUAGCAGUUCUGUCAGGGUGUGUAAGGUGGAUUGGCCAGAUAGGUUGAAGCAUUCUCCGCAUUAACAGGCCAGCGUUGUGGCAACAGCGUCUCUGCACACAUUAUCAAUUAAAGUGUUGCCCUGUUCAACAUGACCAGACAGGAGGAUGGAUUCAGGGAAAGGAGAAUGCCUCCAGUUUGUCCAGGCGAAUUCCACUGCUAGAAAUGACACAUCUCAAAUGGAUUCUCCAGAUUUUUUUUUUUUUUUUUUGUGUGCAAACCACCACUGGUGAAUGUGGCGGCCAUAGUAGGAGAAAAAAACGGGGAAUGAUAGUAAAAAUAAAAGACUGAGGGAAGAGAAGGAACGGGAGGUUUUCCAGGGUACAGCACCCCGCUGUUCAAACCUCAUCAUCUCUUUAGAAAAACGAUGGAGUCUCCAUGAAAUACUGCUCGGUUUUUAACACAGGAAAAUGUGGCAAUGAUAGAUGGACGCCGUGCACUUCAGUGACUGCUCCGUGUAGGGUAAUGCAAGGAAAGACAAAUACAGCCCACGGCCGCCGCCACAAAGGGGUUCUGUUUCUGCUUAAGAAGUGGAUCUUGCAUCAGGACCAGCACGACUCACUUUGGCCUGUGUUCAAAUGUUCUACUAGGAUAAAUAAGGACAUUAGCGCCGUACUUCAGGAGUCAACACAACCUCACACUGUCCUAUCUGUAUCAACACCUUGUAGCUGCAAACCACAAACCAGUCUGUUGCUAAGAUAAUCAACCGUUUCUCAACGACAGGGGGCUGCAACAGAAUGGGCCGGAGAGACUGAUUAGCCGCGGACAUUCCCCAAGAAUGGUUGAUUAUACGAAGCUACCCAGAAGCGGAGCAGCAGCUGAUGUCUGAUCAGUGACAACGUACAAGUCCACUUUCCAAGAAAAACCCGGGGCCAACAUUUACCAGAAUGUAAUACCUGAUCAUGUAGCCCUUAAUCUUUGCCUGUCGCUCAGCCUAAAUGAAGAGAACACGGCCAUUUGUACUAGGAGUGCUGCAGCGAGAGAAUCCAAAGACCAAAAAGCCUUAACUGGCAGAAAACUGGCAGUUACACAGGCUGUCAUGACCACUUCACAGCGUGCGCCCGCUGCCAGCAGCAUCUGGACGAACAAGACUCGCAGCUUCGUAGGAGAUUGGUGGUUCUCCAAGAGUUCCCUGGCAAAUGGCGCACAAAAGGGCUGGAUGCACAGAGUGAUGUGGACGGUGCAUGCACGGGUGGAGGAAUUUGGCAGACGGAGAGAAGGGGAGCAGCAGUAAGGUGCAUCAUUACCCUGCUGUCAGACAACACACUGACUCUGGAUGAUUCAGCAAAAAAAAAAAAAAAAAAA